GUGGGGAAUAUUGGACAAUGGGGGGAACCCUGAUCCAGCCAUGCCGCGUGUGUGAAGAAGGCCUUUUGGUUGUAAAGCACUUUAAGCGAGGAGGAGGCUACCGAGAUUAAUACUCUUGGAUAGUGGACGUUACUCGCAGAAUAAGCACCGGCUAACUCUGUGCCAGCAGCCGCGGUAAUACAAAGGGUGCAAGCGUUAAUCGGAUUUACUGGGCGUAAAGCGCGCGUAGGUGGCCAAUUAAGUCAAAUGUGAAAUCCCCGAGCUUAACUUGGGAAUUGCAUUCGAUACUGGUUGGCUAGAGUAUGGGAGAGGAUGGUAGAAUUCCAGGUGUAGCGGUGAAAUGCGUAGAGAUCUGGAGGAAUACCGAUGGCGAAGGCAGCCAUCUGGCCUAAUACUGACGCUGAGGUACGAAAGCAUGGGGAGCAAACAGGAUUAGAUACCCUUGUAGUCC
rnacentral:rRNA from 1 species